rnacentral:rRNA from 1 species
GGGUUGUGAGGUUAAGCGACUAAGCGUACACGGUGGAUGCCCUGGCAGUCAGAGGCGAUGAAGGGCGUGCUAAUCUGCGAUAAGCGCCGGUAAGGUGAUAUGAACCGUUAUAACCGGCGAUACCCGAAUGGGGAAACCCAGUGUGAUUCGUCACACUAUCAUUAACUGAAUCCAUAGGUUAAUGAGGCGAACCGGGGGAACUGAAACAUCUAAGUACCCCGAGGAAAAGAAAUCAACCGAGAUUCCCCCAGUAGCGGCGAGCGAACGGGGAGGAGCCCAGAGCCUGAAUCAGCAUGUGUGUUAGUGGAAGCGUCUGGAAAGGCGCGCGAUACAGGGUGACAGCCCCGUACACAAAAGCGCAUGUGCUGUGAGCUCGAUGAGUAGGGCGGGACACGUGGUAUCCUGUCUGAAUAUGGGGGGACCAUCCUCCAAGGCUAAAUACUCCUGACUGACCGAUAGUGAACCAGUACCGUGAGGGAAAGGCGAAAAGAACCCCGGCGAGGGGAGUGAAAAAGAACCUGAAACCGUGUACGUACAAGCAGUGGGAGCCCCACCACUAAGCCAGUGGUGAACUCCACAUACGCAUCCUUUGCUGAGGAUACGGUUAACGGAGCGAAAGCGACGUUCAACCUCAAAAGAAGCAGAGGGGGCUUAGUGGUGGGGUGACUGCGUACCUUUUGUAUAAUGGGUCAGCGACUUAUAUUCUGUAGCAAGGUUAACCGAAUAGGGGAGCCGGAGGGAAACCGAGUCUUAACCGGGCGUUAAGUUGCAGGGUAUAGACCCGAAACCCGGUGAUCUAGCCAUGGGCAGGUUGAAGGUUGGGUAACACUAACUGGAGGACCGAACCGACUAAUGUUGAAAAAUUAGCGGAUGACCUGUGGCUGGGGGUGAAAGGCCAAUCAAACCGGGAGAUAGCUGGUUCUCCCCGAAAGCUAUUUAGGUAGCGCCUCGUGAAUUCAUCUCCGGGGGUAGAGCACUGUUUCGGCUAGGGGGGCAUCCCGACUUACCAACCCGAUGCAAACUGCGAAUACCGGAGAAUGUUAUCACGGGAGACACACGGCGGGUGCUAACGUCCGUCGUGAAGAGGGAAACAACCCAGACCGCCAGCUAAGGUCCCAAAGUCAUGGUUAAGUGGGAAACGAUGUGGGAAGGCCCAGACAGCCAGGAUGUUGGCUUAGAAGCAGCCAUCAUUUAAAGAAAGCGUAAUAGCUCACUGGUCGAGUCGGCCUGCGCGGAAGAUGUAACGGGGCUAAACCAUGCACCGAAGCUGCGGCAGCGACACUAUGUGUUGUUGGGUAGGGGAGCGUUCUGUAAGCCUGCGAAGGUGUCUCGUGAGGGAUGCUGGAGGUAUCAGAAGUGCGAAUGCUGACAUAAGUAACGAUAAUGCGGGUGAAAAACCCGCACGCCGGAAGACCAAGGGUUCCUGUCCAACGUUAAUCGGGGCAGGGUGAGUCGACCCCUAAGGCGAGGCCGAAAGGCGUAGUCGAUGGGAAACAGGUUAAUAUUCCUGUACUUGGUGUUACUGCGAAGGGGGGACGGAGAAGGCUAUGUUAGCCGGGCGACGGUUGUCCCGGUUUAAGCAUGUAGGCGGAGGUUCCAGGUAAAUCCGGUACCUUAUUAACGCUGAGGUGUGAUGACGAGGCACUACGGUGCUGAAGUAACAAAUGCCCUGCUUCCAGGAAAAGCCUCUAAGCAUCAGGUAACAUCAAAUCGUACCCCAAACCGACACAGGUGGUCAGGUAGAGAAUACCAAGGCGCUUGAGAGAACUCGGGUGAAGGAACUAGGCAAAAUGGUGCCGUAACUUCGGGAGAAGGCACGCUGAUAUGUAGGUGAAGUGGUUUACCCAUGGAGCUGAAAUCAGUCGAAGAUACCAGCUGGCUGCAACUGUUUAUUAAAAACACAGCACUGUGCAAACACGAAAGUGGACGUAUACGGUGUGACGCCUGCCCGGUGCCGGAAGGUUAAUUGAUGGGGUUAUCCGUAAGGAGAAGCUCUUGAUCGAAGCCCCGGUAAACGGCGGCCGUAACUAUAACGGUCCUAAGGUAGCGAAAUUCCUUGUCGGGUAAGUUCCGACCUGCACGAAUGGCGUAAUGAUGGCCAGGCUGUCUCCACCCGAGACUCAGUGAAAUUGAACUCGCUGUGAAGAUGCAGUGUACCCGCGGCAAGACGGAAAGACCCCGUGAACCUUUACUAUAGCUUGACACUGAACACUGGUCCUUGAUGUGCAGGAUAGGUGGGAGGCUUUGAAGCGCGGACGCCAGUUCGUGUGGAGCCAUCCUUGAAAUACCACCCUUUAAUGGCUGGUGUUCUAACGUAGACCCGUGAUCCGGGUUGCGGACAGUGUCUGGUGGGUAGUUUGACUGGGGCGGUCUCCUCCUAAAGAGUAACGGAGGAGCACGAAGGUUAGCUAAUCCUGGUCGGACAUCAGGAGGUUAGUGCAAAGGCAUAAGCUAGCUUGACUGCGAGCGUGACGGCGCGAGCAGGUGCGAAAGCAGGUCUUAGUGAUCCGGUGGUUCUGAAUGGAAGGGCCAUCGCUCAACGGAUAAAAGGUACUCCGGGGAUAACAGGCUGAUACCGCCCAAGAGUUCAUAUCGACGGCGGUGUUUGGCACCUCGAUGUCGGCUCAUCACAUCCUGGGGCUGAAGUAGGUCCCAAGGGUAUGGCUGUUCGCCAUUUAAAGUGGUACGCGAGCUGGGUUUAGAACGUCGUGAGACAGUUCGGUCCCUAUCUGCCGUGGGCGCUGGAGAACUGAGGGGGGCUGCUCCUAGUACGAGAGGACCGGAGUGGACGCAUCACUGGUGUUCGGGUUGUCAUGCCAAUGGCACUGCCCGGUAGCUAAAUGCGGAAGAGAUAAGUGCUGAAAGCAUCUAAGCACGAAACUUGCCCCGAGAUGAGUUCUCCCUGAGACUUAGAGUCUCCUGAAGGAACGUUGAAGACGACGACGUUGAUAGGCCGGGUGUGUAAGCGCAGCGAUGCGUUGAGCUAACCGGUACUAAUGAACCGUGAGGCUUAACCUUACAACGCCGAAG